rnacentral:misc_RNA from 1 species
AAAAAUUAUGUGCAAACGUGAAAUAGAAGCAUCUCUAAUGUCCACCUGAAAUAAUCUGGUAAUGAAGGAUUUACCUGAAAUAUUUUAGAAAAUACAAGGACUCACCUGAUAAAAAAACAUUUGAGGACUCGAUUAAAACAGUGAGUGCAGUUUAAGGACACUUUGUGUAAUUAUCCUUUAAACGGGUUAUGUGAAGAAAAAGGCAUCACUUUCUUAUGUCUGCAUUGAAUGAUUUGUGUCACUCAUAGUUGUUGAGAAACGCAAACUGAAACUGUUUCAAAAGAUUAGCCCACCUUUUCUAAGAGAAACUAGUGGAAUGCUUAGUUCACCUGUCCCUACAUUCAGUGGGCUCAUCAUAACUUAGCCACAAAAAAAGUUCAAUCAAAUUUAGAAGAUUACUAUCCAUUAAGGAGAAGAGAAACUGUUUCCAAGCAUUAUUCACUUGUCAAUGAGUACUAUAUAUGGUGCUCAUUUUCAUUCUUGAGGAAAUUUCAUUGUGAAUGCAAGCAUGGUGAGGGGUAUUAGGUUAAGAAUUGCAUACAAGGAUUUAGGUCAGUGAUUUCACUCUUGCAGCACUACCUUUCUUCUUUCAAUUUGUUAUUGUUUCUUAGCUUAUGACGAAGUUUCUUUUUUACUUAUCGUAUCGAAAUUCUCACCUUCAAAAGUUGCUUGUAGGUCAUUGAGGAUGGAGUUAUCUCCAGAGGAAGAAAUAAUUGCUUCAAUGAACAUGGAUGUAAUC